CAUUUAGGAAAAAGUGUCCCAUGAUUGUCUCUUUGUAACUGUAUCCAUCUCUUGACAUUAUGGUUGCUUUGAAUAUGUAGUGUAUCUUAAUCCAAACAGGGUGCGAUCCUCUUCUGACUUUCCUCCUCUGCUGCAGGUUAUUUAUAAACUAUGUAUUUGGCACGGGGGAUAUAUCACUUAUGCUUGCACAGGUUCUCUCUAUCAUGCUGCGCAUCAGUAACCUCACCUUUCUCAUCCACUCAAACUCUCUAACCUGUGCGUUUCUUGAUUUGAAAGAUUUAAUCUUGAUUGACCAAAGUUUUCUGCAAUGUUUCAGGUUUGCUUCUCUUCUUUUGGUUUUCUCGGUUACGUUUUUCAACCCCUUUUUUCUUAUUUCUGAUUUGGCCCCUUUCUGAUUUAAUUCCUUUUCUUCUAAUCGUUUCUCCAUUUUGAGUCUGGGUUGUUGUAUCACGAUUCUACCAGCCCGCCACCCUACCUGCACUGAUUUCGGUAUCAAGCGAUUUGAAUGCGAAGAUGGAGGCCAUGAUGACCAUUUUGGAAGGUGGAACCCAAGAUCAUGUGCAUUACAAAUGGAAAGAAGAUCUCAUAGAGAUGCUUGAAGAACUUGGCCAAUCUUACCGUGUUUUAUUCAUAUCAUAUAAUCAACUGAAGUCCAAAACAUCCAGCAAUGUGGUGUUAAUUGGAGCAUAGAAAGCUGUCUCCAACAAGUAAUAAAGCUAUGUCAAAGUGGCUCUUUUUCAAGCAUGCAAGAUCUUAUGGGGUUAUAGGUAGCAGCGCAGCUGGGCUCAAAUAUGAUUGCUUGCAACCUUAUUAACAGAAUAUUAGAAUCCCAAUCCAACGUUAUACCAAACCAUCAUACAGUAGAUGCCAUAUACUCCAUUCCUUCAUUCACAUAAUCCAUGACAGACCAAAAUCACCACACCUCAUGACCAAGGAAUCAAUUACCAAGGAGUGACAGCACACACUUAUAAUGAGCGGGGAAAUAUAUGUGGGGCGCGCCUUUAGGCUGGGAUUGCUCUCAUCUGAUCAAUUACUUGGAGGUCAGCAUCACUAUCUCUAAUUACUGCAUUAGUACUAAAUAAAAGAGGCAUUACUAUUGCUAUUUUAAGUUUUUGACAUCUUAGUGUUUAUUAGAAAAAGUUUGUAUGACAUACACCAGUAUGAGUACACUUUUUGAAAGCUAGAAAACAAAGACUCAAAGUUGGGCCUCAGGUACAUAAAGUGAUUGACAGUCUUAUGAGAAGUACAAGCACAAUGACAGUAACCGCAAGAUUGUUACUCCUGACCUGAAGGAAAUUAUCUUUCAGCACUUUAUAAAAAAGAUAAAGAAGGUCAUCACGGAUGAAGAGAUUUUGUGAUUGUAGGGGUGACAAGGUUAUGAAAAGCAUUCUUCUAUGGCAUAUUGCAACACAUUUUUAUGUUAUAACUGUCUCAUGUGAGGAGGAAACAGAUAGCGGAAGGGGUUUAAGUUUUAGAGAAUGAAGCAAAUUGUUAUCAGAGUACAUGUUGUAUCUUAUUGUUAUGAGAACAUCCAUGCUGCCUAAUGGGUUUGGUGGGUAUGUGUCUCCAUUGAUUGGACAUAUAUAUUUCAUACAUAGCGAGAAAGUAGUUUGCAUAAAACUACUCAAACUCCGCACAGAGAUUGAGAAAGUGAGUCUGGUGAAAGGCAAUAGGAGCAAGUAUGCUAUUUAAUGCGUGCAGGAUGGAAAAACAUACAAAUUAAAGGUGGUUGAUUUAAUAUUAUAUCAAUGUUGCAAAUAACAUUUCCAUUAUCCUUUUCCCUGGAGCUAUAUAAAUAUUAAAUUAAAUUGUUUUUAAUUAGAUUAAAACUUUAAU